rnacentral:rRNA from 1 species
UGUAUUUAUUAGAUAAAAAACCAAUGCCCUUCGGGGCUACUUGGUGAUUCAUAAUAACUUAACGGAUCGCAUGGCCUUGCGCCGGCGACGGUUCAUUCAAAUUUCUGCCCUAUCAACUUUCGAUGGUAAGGUAUUGGCUUACCAUGGUUUCAACGGGUAACGGGGAAUAAGGGUUCUAUUCCGGAGAGGGAGCCUGAGAAACGGCUACCACAUCCAAGGAAGGCAGCAGGCGCGCAAAUUACCCAAUCCCGACACGGGGAGGUAGUGACAAUAAAUACUGAUACAGGGCUCUUUUGGGUCUUGUAAUUGGAAUGAGUACAAUUUAAAUCCCUUAACGAGGAACAAUUGGAGGGCAAGUCUGGUGCCAGCAGCCGCGGUAAUUCCAGCUCCAAUAGCGUAUAUUAAAGUUGUUGCAGUUAAAAAGCUCGUAGUUGAACCUUGGGCCUGGCUGGCCGGUCCGCCUCACCGCGUGUACUGGUCCGGCCGGGCCUUUCCUUCUGGAGAGCCCCAUGCCCUUCACUGGGUGUGCGGGGGAACCAGGACUUUUACUUUGAAAAAAUUAGAGUGUUCAAAGCAGGCCUUUGCUCGAAUACGUUAGCAUGGAAUAAUAGAAUAGGACGUGUGGUUCUAUUUUGUUGGUUUCUAGAACCGCCGUAAUGAUUAAUAGGGAUAGUCGGGGGCAUCAGUAUUCAAUUGUCAGAGGUGAAAUUCUUAGAUUUAUUGAAGACUAACUACUGCGAAAGCAUUUGCCAAGGAUGUUUUCAUUAAUCAGUGAACGAAAGUCAGGGGAUCGAAGACGAUCAGAUACCGUCGUAGUCUUGACCGUAAACUAUGCCGACUAGGGAUCGGGCGGUGUUUCUAUCUUGACCCGCUCGGCACCUUACGA